UCCGACUUCUGGCCGGCAGUCUCGCCAGAACUUCUAACUGGCGACGAGGGUUGCGCUCGUUGCGGGACUUAACCCAACACCUCACGGCACGAGCUGACGACAGCCGUGCAGCACCUGUGCACGCUCCCCGAAGGGUCCCUUGGCUUUCACCGCAGUACCACGUGCAUGUCAAGCCCUGGUAAGGUUCUUCGCUUAGCGUCGAAUUGAACCACACGCUCCCCCGCUUGUGCGGGCCCCCGUCAAUUCCUUUGAGUUUUAACCUUGCGGCCGUACUCCCCAGGCGGGACACUUAUCGCGUUAGCUCCGGCCCUCAACCGGUCUUGUUCCCGGCCGAAGACCUAGUGUCCAUCGUUUACAGCGUGGACUAC
rnacentral:misc_RNA from 1 species